rnacentral:rRNA from 1 species
UACGGAGGGAGCUAGCGUUAUUCGGAAUCACUGGGCGUAAAGCGCACGUAGGCGGAUUGUUAAGUCAGGGGUGAAAUCCUGGAGCUCAACUCCAGAACUGCCUUUGAUACUGGCGAUCUCGAGUCCGGGAGAGGUGAGUGGAACUGCGAGUGUAGAGGUGAAAUUCGUAGAUAUUCGCAAGAACACCAGUGGCGAAGGCGGCUCACUGGCCCGGUACUGACGCUGAGGUGCGAAAGCGUGGGGAGCAAACAGG